rnacentral:rRNA from 1 species
UGGGGAAUAUUGCACAAUGGGCGGAAGCCUGAUGCAGCGACGCCGCGUGAGGGAUGACGGCCUUCGGGUUGUAAACCUCUUUCAGUAGGGACGAAGCGUAAGUGACGGUACCUGCAGAAGAAGCACCGGCUAACUACGUGCCAGCAGCCGCGGUAAUACGUAGGGUGCGAGCGUUGUCCGGAAUUACUGGGCGUAAAGAGCUCGUAGGCGGUUUGUCACGUCGUCUGUGAAAUCCUAGGGCUUAACCCUGGACGUGCAGGCGAUACGGGCUGACUUGAGUACUACAGGGGAGACUGGAAUUUCUGGUGUAGCGGUGGAAUGCACAGAUAUCAGGAAGAACACCGAUGGCGAAGGCAGGUCUCUGGGUAGUAACUGAAGCUGAGGAGCGAAAGCAUGGGUAGCGAACAGG